rnacentral:rRNA from 1 species
GACGAACCGUGCGAACGUUGUUCGGAAUCACUGGGCUUAAAGGGCGCGUAGGCGGGCUGUUUAGUCGGGGGUGAAAUCGCUCGGCCCAACCGGACAAGGGCCUCCGAUACUGGCAGUCUCGAGGGAGGUAGGGGUUGGUGGAACUUCCGGUGGAGCGGUGAAAUGCGUAGAUAUCGGAAGGAACGCCGGUGGCGAAAGCGGCCAACUGGACCUCUUCUGACGCUGAUGCGCGAAAGCUAGGGGAGCGGACGGG